CCUACGGGAUGCAGCAGUGAGGAAUAUUGGUCAAUGGACGAGAGUCUGAACCAGCCAAGUAGCGUGAAGGAUGAAUGCCCUAUGGGUUGUAAACUUCUUUUAUAUGGGAAUAAAAUGUUCCACGUGUGGGAUUUUGUAUGUACCAUAUGAAUAAGGAUCGGCUAACUCCGUGCCAGCAGCCGCGGUAAUACGGAGGAUUCGAGCGUUAUCAGGAUGUAUUGGGUUUAAAGGGAGCGUAGGUGGGUUGUUAAGUCAGUUGUGAUAGUUUGUGGCUCAACCGUAAAAUUGCAGUUGAUACUGGCAGUCUUGAGUACAGUAGAGGUGGGCGGAAUUCGUGGUGUAGCGGUGAAAUGCUUAGAUAUCACGAAGAACUCCGAUUGCGAAGGCAGCUCACUGGACUACAACUGACACUGAGGCUCGAAAGUGUGGGUAUCAAACAGGAUUAGAUACCCGUGUAGUC
rnacentral:rRNA from 1 species